GGCGAGUGAAGCGGCAACAGCUCAAAUUUGAAAUCUGGCCCUAGGCCCGAGUUGUAAUUUGCAGAGGAUGCUUUUGGUGCGGUGCCUUCCAAGUUCCCUAGAACGGGACGCCAGAGAGGGUGAGAGCCCCGUACAGUUGGACACCAAGCCUUUGUAAAGCUCCUUCGACGAGUCGAGUAGUUUGGGAAUGCUGCUCAAAAUGGGAGGUAUAUUUCUUCUAAAGCUAAAUACCGGCCAGAGACCGAUAGCGCACAAGUAGAGUGAUCGAAAGAUGAAAAGCACUUUGAAAAGAGGGUUAAACAGCACGUGAAAUUGUUAAAAGGGAAGCGCUUGUGACCAGACUUGCGUCCGGUGAAUCACCCAGCUCUCGCGGCUGGGGCACUUCGCCGGCUCAGGCCAGCAUCAGCUCGCUGUCGGGGACAAAAGCUUCAGGAACGUAGCUCUCUUCGGGGAGUGUUAUAGCCUGUUGCACAAUACCCUUCGGCGGGCUGAGGUACGCGCUCCGCAAGGAUGCUGGCAUAAUGGUCAUCAGCGACCCGUCUUGAAACACGGACCAAGGAGUCAACCUUAUGUGCGAGUGUUCGGGUGUCAAACCCCUACGCGUAAUGAAAGUGAACGCAGGUGAGAGCUUCGGCGCAUCAUCGACCGAUCCUGAUGUUCUCGGAUGGAUUUGAGUAAGAGCAUAUAGGGUUGGACCCGAAAGAAGGUGAACUAUGCGUGUAUAGGGUGAAGCCAGAGGAAACUC
rnacentral:rRNA from 1 species